rnacentral:lncRNA from 1 species
AGGAACCGCAAAGCUACAGCUACUGUAUAUCGACCAGGCCUCAGUGACACAGCAGCUGCUGGAAACCUGCUCAGUGCACUGCUGUGCUUUGACUGCGAGAGGAGUUCUGAUUAGUCAAGCAGAGAGCCAACAGAUAAUGAGAAGAGUCUCGGCUGACGACCUCCCCAAGCCCGUGUUUCUGCAGAUUUGGACGUCACUUUGAUUGGGCGGAUCCCACCUUUCCAAUCCCAGGGACACACAUUCAUCUAUUAAUGUUAGGCACUUAAACCAUAUAAAAGGAGGAUUUGUUAAACCUCACUAAGUUUUCAUGAAUGGUUUUGCAGUACUAUACACUCAAGAGCUGCACUAGUGUAUAGCACUGUUGUUAUUUUUAGCUUUUUUGAGUUUGGGGUCUCAUUUAAUGACUUAACGGAUUUGGUUUUGUGCUUAGAUUGCCUAUGUGACUGUAAUUAUUUAGAAUGUGUUCAGUAAAGCUUAAAAACUAAUCUUGAACCAGUUGAAAAGGUGGCGGUGGUCUAAUGGUUAGACGUCUGAGUUACCAGGGCUGUCACCAUUGUGCCCCCAGGGAGACUGUCCUUGUGGUUAGUUCACUGUGAGUCAGUCUGAAUAUAAUCAUUAAAAUGUAAAAAAAAAGGUUCCUGUAUUAUACAUUAUUAGAGACUUUAUUUAUGGAGGUGGAAACUGCUGUAGGAAUAAUUUCAUUUCAUUUUGUACCCUGUUGUUUUUGUUUUGAUUUCAUUAGUUUUUAGUACAUGUGAGGUGAAUACACGAUGAGCUUUUCUGAUUCACUUUCUGUACGUUGAUUUCUACAGAAGAAAAGUAAAGCACUUGAUGUGUUUUGAGUCACAUACAGUAACUACUCCUAGAGCCACAGACCCCACAAGCCACAAUCUUAUCUUAAUGAAUAUGGGCAGAUAGACAAGAAAUUGCAGCCAAAUAAAAGAAUAAUAAAGGCAUCUAAACCCUAACAAGUCUGCCUUUGUUCUUCCACUCCACCCACCACAAGCUGGCUGUGUGAAAGCAGGCGUUGUUGCAGCUUUGAGGGCAGCUCUGAGAGUUCCAUGCCCAUCGGCCUUCAAUCACAAGGGAUGUCUGAGUUUGACAGUAUAAAGUCUUUCUUCUAGAACAAAAUAAGACCCCUAAGCAAUAGUGGAUGAGCUGUUAGUAACCAUACAGUCCACAGGGAGGUAGACCAAGCAUGGUAGUACAGUACACACAAAGUGUUGGUUAGGGAUAAGACAAUGGACCAGUGAAAACAUUACUGCAUGCUGCAACACUCCAAAAUGUGCUUCUUUUACUAACAGAAGUUAACUGUAUGUGUUUAGUUUGGUAAAAAUUCAAUUUGACUUUAUACUAACCAAAAACAAAGUUCAUGAAAACAGCAGUUAAUGUUUUCAAAAUAAAAUGUACUUACUGAUUUAUACAAACAAUAUUGAAAGUA